rnacentral:tRNA from 1 species
AAAAAGAUAAGCUAAAAUAAGCUAUUAGGUUCAUACCCUAAGUAUAGAAGUUAAAUAACCUUCUUCUUUUUA